UUAGGGCCCGAGCGUAGCUGCUAAGCAGCUGCGAGAGCCCUCUUGUUCCUGUAGUUUCCUUCUUUUGUUAUUAGGGCCCGAGCCAGCUGCAGAGCAGCCGGGCGUAGGCCCUAUUAUUCCCCAAGUGGUUUUUUAGGGCCCGAGCCAGCUGCAGAGCAGCCGGGCGUAGGCCCUAUUAUUCCCCAAGUGGUUUUUCUUUGUUUCUUUCUUUCUUUCUUUCUUUCUUCUUUUUCCUCCCCUUUGAACUGGAAAAUGGCCCACUUCCCACUGGCGAAAACUCAUGAAAUUUGGCAGGACGACCGGGCCUGGUGAAAAAUUCGAUAUUCUGAAGUCGCCCAAACAAUAAAAUGCAAAAUGGCUCCAUAGCGCCCCCUAAGGUGGAAAUUCACACUAUUGACUGUCACGCCUGUACGCUUUGUCAUAUUGACACAAAAAUUGACACACAUAUGUAUCUCAAUAAGAUCUACAAAAAAGUCAGUGCGGCCGUAUCUGUCAAAAUUACGGUUAAAGGGUUAUUUCGCAUUUUUUGCCGAUCCGCACACAUUGGAAUUUCGCUAACUCCUCCGAAGGCUUUCGUUCCACCGGCACCACAUUUGCUCAGGCCAAUCUACACCCCGUGGCCAUUAAAAGUUAUCAAAAUCAUGCCGCUGCACCCCAAGGUUUAGGUUCUAGGGGGCGCCAAAGAUAACACUAAAAUCCACAUAUUUAAAAGUCUUAUAACUUUUUAUUUUUGUCCUCACUGGCCUCCAAGUUUUCUAGGAUGAUGCAAUGUCCAGCCAUCAACACAUUUGUGAAGGAAUUUUUACUCCCCAAAAGAGCGCCCCCCCAUGGCAGGAGAAAAAAGUCCAUUUUUUCUUGUCCCCUAAGGUGAAAAUACACAUUGUUGAGUGUCACGCCUAUACGCUUUGUCAAAAUGACACAAAAAUUGACACACACAUGUAACUCAAUAAGAUCUACAAAAAAGUCCAUGCGCGCGUAUCUGUCAAAUGUACAGUUAAAGGGUUAUUCCGCAUUUUUUGCCGAUACGCACACAUUGGAAUUUCGCUAACUCCUCCUAAGGCUUUCGUUCCACCGGCACCACAUUUGCUCAGGCCAAUCUACACCCCAUGGCCAUUAAAAGUUAUUCAAAUCAUGAUGCUGCACCCCAUGGUUUAGGUUCUAGGGGGCGCCAAAAAUAACCCAAAAAUCCACAUUCUUAAAUGUUUUAUAACUUUUUAUUUUUGUCCUCACUGGCCUCCAAGUUCUCUAGGAUGAUGCAAUGUCCAGCCAUCAACACAUUUGUGAAGGAAUUUUUACUCCCCAAAAGAGCGCCCCCCCAUGGUAGGAGAAAAAAGUCAAUUUUUUCUUGUCCCCUUACAUAAAAAUACACAUUGUUGAGUGUCACGCCUGAACGCUUUGUCAUAUUGACACAAAAAUUGACAAUCAUGUGUAUCUCAAUUAGAUCUACGAAAAAGUCAAAGAGCGCGUAUCUGUAUAAUGUACGGUUAAAGGGCUAUUUUGCAUUUUUUGCCGAUUCGCACACAUUGGAAUGUGGCUAUCUCCUCCUAAGGCUUUCGUCCCACCGAUACCAAAUUUGCUCAGGGCAAUCUACACCCCAUGCCCAUUCAAAGUUGUAAAAAUCAUGACGCUGCACCCCACGGUUUACGUUCUAGGGGGCGCCAAAGAUGACCCAAAAAUCCACAUUCUUAAAAGUCAUUUUGGCCACUGCAGGAGUACAGAGUACUGCAGUUCUAGGGGGCGCCAAAGAUGACCCAAAAAUCCACAUUCUUAAAAGUCUUUUUGGCCACUGCAGGAGUACAGAGUACUGCAGGAUACACACACAUAUACACACACGCCAACAUACACACACACACACACACACACACACACACACACACACACACACACACACUCAGAGUCUGUUUUUUAGCACCUGCAAAAACAUGCUGUUUACAUAUUUGACAAGAAUGCAGAGGCUUCCUUUUGCCCCUGAAAAAAAUCAAAUUUCAAACACAACUUGACUGUUCAUUUCUCCAAAAGACAACCAUGAAGCUCCAUUUCAAACCUGAAGCAGAUAGUUGGUGCAUGUGUACAGUAACCUGAGGGGAGUGAGGUGACUAUUUCUGAGGAGAACAUGAGCAGUGAAGAUUCACCUUGGAGCUAGAACAGAGACGUGCACAUGAUUAUACAGGGGCAGGGGCUCAAGUUUUUUCCAGUCAUUUAUACAAUAUGGAAAUUAAUGUGAAAUUAAACCACAAAUAUGUGUGAUGAACUGUUUUUAAAACUUAAACUUCAAAUAAAAAUUGUAAACUUCAAAACAUAUGCAAAUUUUUAACAAAGAACAUAGUAAUUUACCUCUAUUUACAUCAAAAUGCAGGCAAUGGCCCAGGCGUUCUUUGUAAAAUUAUUUACAAAACACUGUAUAGUCUCACAAAUGUCACUUUUUAUUUAUGCCACUACAAAAAAACAUGAUGUAAAUGAUGCAUGAUGUAAAACAUGAUGUAAAAAACUUGUGUAGAUCCUCCUCUAUGUUAGUCCAUGUGUAAUUUUUCCAUAAUUCUUUGUUUUUUGCAGCAUUUUUGUUAGUGUAACUGCAGAUUGUGCUGACAGUGUCUAUGGCAAAAAAAAAAAAAAACUGAAAAUGCCUCAACAUGAACCCCUGGUGGUCUCUGAGGGUGAAACCUGCUAACUGCUGCAGCUCUGUCAGCUUCAGUCUCAUGCAGAGCUCGGAGCGCAUGUGUGGCUCUGCACCCUUAGCAGCGUUGCUAACUCCUCAGUAAGGAAAGCCUGCUUCAUGUCAGAGUCUCUAAACUCCAGAAGAAGUCGAUAAAAGUCACUUUCUUUCUAAAAAAAAGUCGUUAGGGGGUCUGAAAAGUCAUUGAAUCUAACAACAAAGUCGCUAGGUUUGCAACUACGUGUCCCAGACUGCAUCCCUGCUGAGAGUCCCUCCCUCCCUUCUCAUAUUGCAGGAAGAACGUAAGCGCCCGCCCCUCAACGGAGUCAACGAGGCUCCGUCUUGCAGCUACAUCCGGUUGAAUAUGUCAUGUGACUUGAACGCACACACACACACACACACACACACACACACACACAGACACACACACACACGCACACACACACACUCAGAGUCUGGUUUUUAGCACCUGCAAAAACAUGCUAUUUACAUAUUUGACAAGAAUGCAGAGGCUCCUUUUGCCCCUGAAAAAAAUCAAAUUUCAAACACAACUUGACUGGUCAUUUCUCCAAAAGACAACCAUGAAGCUCCAUCCAAACCUGAAGCAGGCAGUUGGUGCAUGUGUACAGUAACCUGAGGUGAGUGCUUCUGAGGAGAACAUGAGCAGUGAAGAUUCACCUUGGAGCUAGAACAGAGACAUGCACAUGAUUAUACAGGGGCAGGGGCUCAAGUUUUUUCCAGUCGUUUAUACAAUAUGGAAAUUAAUGUGAAAUUAAAACACAAAGUAUUAAUAGAAAGGUAAUGACUGUCCUGUGUAGGUGACAGUGAUAUCCAAUAGGCUAGGCACUCACGAGGCUGGCUGUGGCAAGUGUAAGUGAAAGCAACACGCACUGGCAGGAAGAACAGCAAACGCCGAUGAAGGAAAAGGGACUUUGCAGUGAUGGGCGUUACCAGAGAGGGCGAUGGCCAGAGGACACAAAAGGGACGGGGAGGCAGCACGUUGGGGAGGGGGGGGGGGGGGGGCGACACGGCUCGGGCCCACCAGUGCCCCAACGGGGUCCUAGUUAGGGCCCGAGCGUAGCUGCUAAGCAGCUGCGAGAGCCCUAUUAUUCCCCAAGUGGUUUUUCUUUGUUUCUUUUUAGGGCCCGAGCGUAGCUGCUAAGCAGCUGCGAGAGCCCUCUUGUUCCUGUAGUUUCCUUCUUUUGUUAUUAUUAUUAUUAUUAUUAUUUUUCCUCCCCUUUGAACUGGAAAAUGGCCCACUUCCCACUGGCGAAAACUCAUGAAAUUUGGCAGGACGACCGGGCCUGGUGAAAAAUUCGAUAUUCUGAAGUCGCCCAAACAAUAAAAUGCAAAAUGGCUCCAUAGCGCCCCCUAAGGUGAAAAUUCACACUAUUCACUGUCACGCCGGUACGCUUUGUCAAAAUGACACAAAAAUUGACACACACAUGUAUCUCAAUAAGAUCUACAAAAAAGUCAGUGCGGGCGUAUCUGUCAAAUGUACGGUUAAAGGGUUAUUUCGCAUUUUUUGCCGAUCCACACACAUUGGAAUUUCGCUAACUCCUCCGAAGGCUUUCGUUCCACCGGCACCACAUUUGCUCAGGCCAAUCUACACCCCAUGGCCAUUAAAAGUUAUUCAAAUCAUGACGCUGCACCCCACGGUUUAGGUUCUAGGGGGCGCCAAAGAUAACCCUAAGAUCCACAUAUUUAAAAGUCUUAUAACUUUUUAUUUUUGCCCUCACUGGCCUCCAAGUUUUCUAGGAUGAUGCAAUGUCCAGCCAUCAACACAUUUGUGAAGGAAUUUUUACUCCCCAAAAGAGCGCCCCCCCAUGGCAGGAGAAAAAAGUCAAUUUUUUCUUGUCCCCUAAGGUGAAAAUACACAUUGUUGAGUGUAACACCUGUACGCUUUGGCAAAAUGACACAAAAAUUGACACACACAUGUAUCUCAAUAAGAUCUACGAAAAAGUCAACGCGCGCGUAUCUGUCAAAUGUACGGUUAAAGGGUUAUUCCGCAUUUUUUGCCGAUCCGCACACAUUGGAAUUUCGCUAACUCCUCCGAAGGCUUUCGUUCCACCGGCACCACAUUUGCUCAGGCCAAUCUACACCCCAUGGCCAUUAAAAGUUAUUCAAAUCAUGACGCUGCACCCCACGGUUUAGGUUCUAGGGGGAGCCAAAGAUAACCAUAAAAUCCACAUAUUUAAAAGUCUUAUAACUUUUUAUUUUUGUCCCCACUGGCCUCCAAGUUUUCUAGGAUGAUGCAAUGUCCAGCCAUCAACACAUUUGUGAAGGAAUUUUUACUCGGCAAAAGAGCGCCCCCCCAUGGCAGGAGAAAAAAGUCAAUUUUUUCUUGUCCACUAAGUUGAAAAUACACAUUGUUGAGUGCUACGCCUGUAUGUUUUGUCGUAUUGACACAAAAUUUUACAUACACGUGUAUUUACAUAAGAUCUUCGAAAAAGUCAAUGGCCACGUAUCUGUAAAAUGUACGGUUAAAGGGUUAUUUCGCAUUUUUUGCAGAUUCGCACACAUUGGAAUUUCGCUAAUUCCUCCGAAGGCUUUCGUUCCACCGGCACCACAUUUGCUCAGGCCAAUCUACACCCCAUGGCCAUUAAAAGUUAUUCAAAUCAUGACGCUGCACCCCACGGUUUAGGUUCUAGGGGGCGCCAAAGAUAACCCUAAAAUCCACAUAUUUAAAAGUCUUAUAACUUUUUAUUUUUGUCCUCACUGGCCUCCAUGUUUUCUAGGAUGAUGCAAUGUCCAGCCAUCAACACAUUUGUGAAGGAGUUUUUUCUCGUUAAAAGAGCACCCCCCCCCCAUGGCAGGAGAAUAAAGUCAAGUUUUUCCUGUUCAUCAUUCAAUGGCUCAAACGCACUGCUCUCUCGGCAAAAGCGAAAGGAGGAGCAACUUGCCAUUUGGAUAUAUCUUAGCUGUGUUUGUGCCCUCACUCAUGGUCCAGACUUUUUUCAAAUAGGACAUGGAGUUUUUCUGCAGCGAACGUUUUGGUAGAAACUGCGCCUCCCGUUCAUUAUAAUGGUAAAUGACCACAAACAAGUGCGCACACCAUCUUUGGACCUUGAGUGUGACGCGAUCGGGUGGGGGAGGCGGUCGCGCUGGGGGCGGCGUGACACGGCUCGGGCCCGCCAGUGCCCCAACGGGGCCCUAGUUUCUUUUUCCUCCCCUUUGAACUGGAAAAUGGCCCACUUCCCACUGGCGAAAACUCAUGAAAUUUGGCAGGACGACCGGGCCUGGUGAAAAAUUUGAUAUUCCGAAGUCGCCCAAACAAUAAAAUGCAAAAUGGCUCCAUAGCGCCCCCUAAUGUGAAAAUUCACAUGACGGCUGUACGCUUUGUCAUAUUGACACAAAAAUUGACACACACAUGUAUCUCAAUAAGAUCUACAAAAAAGUCAGUGCGGGCGUAUCUGUCAAAUGUACGGUUAAUGGGUUAUUUUGCAUUUUUUGCAGAUCUGCACACAUUGGAAUUUCGCUAACUCCUCCGAAGGCUUUCGUUCCACCGGCACCACAUUUGCUCAGGCCAAUCUACACCCCAUGGCCAUUAAAAGUUAUUCAAAUCAUGACGCUGCACCCCACGGUUUAGGUUCUAGGGGGCGCCAAAAAUAACCCUAAAAUCCACAUAUUUAAAAGUCUUAUAACUUUUUAUUUUUGUCCUCCCUGGCCUCCAAGUUUUCUAGGAUGAUGCAAUGUCCAGCCAUCAACACAUCUGUGAAGGAAUUUUUACUCCCCAAAAGAGCGCCCCCCCAUGGCAGGAGAAAAAAGUCCAUUUUUUCUUGACCCCUAAGGUGAAAAUACACAUUGUUGAGUGUCACGCCUUUACGCUUUGGCAAAAUGACACAAAAAUUGACACACACAUGUAUCUCAAUAAGAUCUACAAAAAAGUCUAUGAGCGCGUAUCUGUCAAAUGUACGGUUAAAGGGUUAUUCCGCAUUUUUUGCCGAUACGCACACAUUGGAAUUUCGCUAACUCCUCCGAAGGCUUUCGUUCCACCGGCACCACAUUUGCUCAGGCCAAUCUACACCCCAUGGCCAUUAAAAGUUAUUCAAAUCAUGACGCUGCACCCCACGAUUUAGGUUCUAGGGGGCGCCAAAAAUAACCCUAAAAUCCACAUAUUUCAAAGUCUUUUAACUUUUUAUUUUUGUCCUCACUGGCCUCCAAGUUUUCUAGGAUGAUGCAAUGUCCAGCCAUCAACACAUUUGUUAAGGAAUUUUUACCCCCCAAAAGAGCGCCCCCCCAUGGCAGGAGAAAAAAGUCCUUUUUUUCUUGUCCCCUAAGGUGAAAAUACACAUUGUUGAGUGUCACGCCUAUACGCUUUGUCAUAUUGACACAAAAUUUGACAAUCACGUGCCUUGCCUGGUAUCAUUUUUUUCAGCACAACCUCACCUGUGCGAAUUUACAGUUAUUUUAUCAUGUUGACAUACUGAAUUUACACAAUGGACCCAAAUUCACACACAAAACAUAAAAUCCGAGUGGAAAAAAGUAACGUUUUUACUGUGAAAACCACAAAUAUGUGUGAUGAACUGUUUUUAAAACUUAAACUUCAAAUAAAAAUUGUAAACUUCAAAACAUAUGCAAAUUUUUAACAAAGAACAUAGUAAUUUACCUCUAUUUACAUCAAAAUGCAGGCAAUGGCCCAGGUGUUCUUUGUAAAAUUAUUUACAAAACACUGUAUAGUCUCACAAAUGUCACUUUUUAUUUAUGCCACUACAAAAAAACAUGAUGUAAAUGAUGCAUGAUGUAAAACAUGAUGUAAAAAACUUGUGUAGAUCCUCCUCUAUGUUAGUCCAUGUGUAAUUUUUCCAUAAUUCUUUGUUUUUUGCAGCAUUUUUGUUAGUGUAACUGCAGAUUGUGCUGACAGUGUCGAUGGCAAAAAAAAAAAAAAAAAACUGAAAAUGCCUCAACAUGAACCCCUGGUGGUCUCUGAGGGUGAAACCUGCUAACUGCUGCAGCUCUGUCAGCUUCAGUCUCCCAUGCAAAGCUCGGAGCGCAUGUGUGGCUCUGCACCCUUAGCAGCGUUGCUAACUCCUCAGUAAGGAAAGCCUGCUUCAUGUCAGAGUCUCUAAACUCCAGAAGAAGUCGAUAAAAGUCACUUUCUUUCUAAAAAAAAGUCGUUAGGGGGUCUGAAAAGUCAUUGAAUCUAACAACAAAGUCGCUAGGUUUGCAACUACGUGUCCCAGACUGCAUCCCUGCUGAGAGUCCCUCCCUCCCUUCUCAUAUUGCAGGAAGAACGUAAGCGCCCGCCCCUUGUCAAUCAGUCACCAUAUAAUUUUGGAUUGGUUGUUGUGGUGAGGUUUUCCACCAAUAGGAGAGAUGUUGUGGUGUGUUUUUUUUUUCCUUUGGCAAGCCUUUUCCGCCUGUAAGACCUGUCGCUAAUGUCUGCAUGCUAUGUUUUCCUGUCUCAUACAGCGCGAUCGAGCGCCGAACGUGAUCAAAAUAAGCAGAAAACAAGUAUCGCGGACAUAAUUUAUCAUAACUCUGGUUUUAUUUGGCCUAUCAACACAAUUUAAAAACUGGUAUAUAGGUUGAGGUCCUCACUUUUGAGAUAAGUUGAAACGGAGUCAACGAGGCUCCGUCUUGCAGCUACAUCCGGUUAAAUAUGUCAUGUGACUUGAACGCACACACACACACACACAGACACACACACACACGCACACACACACACUCAGAGUCUGGUUUUUAGCACCUGCAAAAACAUGCUAUUUACAUAUUUGACAAGAAUGCAGAGGCUCCUUUUGCCCCUGAAAAAAAUCAAAUUUCAAACACAACUUGACUGGUCAUUUCUCCAAAAGACAACCAUGAAGCUCCAUCCAAACCUGAAGCAGGCAGUUGGUGCAUGUGUACAGUAACCUGAGGGGAGUGAGGUGACUGCUUCUGAGGAGAACAUGAGCAGUGAAGAUUCACCUUAGAGCUAGAACAGAGACGUGCACAUGAUUAUACAGGGGCAGGGGCUCAAGUUUUUUCCAGUUGUUUAUACAAUAUGGAAAUUAAUGUGAAAUUAAAAAACAAAGUAUUAAUAGAAAGGUAAUGACUGUCCUGAGUAGGUGACAGUGAUAUCCAAUAGGCUAGGCACUCACGAGGCUGGCUGUGGCAAGUGUAAGUGAAAGCAACACGCACUGGCAGGAAGAACAGCAAACGCCGAUGAAGGAAAAGGGUCUUUGCAGUGAUGGGCGUUACCAGAGAGGACGAUGGCCAGAGGACACAAAUGGGACGGGGAGGCAGCGCGUUGGGGGGGGGACGCGACACAGCUCGGGCCCGCCAGUGCCCCAACGGGGUCCUAGUCUUUGUUUCUUUCUUUCUUUUUUCUUUUUCCUCCCCUUUGAACUGGAAAAUGGCCCACUUCCCACUGGCGAAAACUCAUGAAAUUUGGCAGGACGACCGGGCCUGGUGAAAAAUUUGAUAUUCUGAAGUCGCCCAAACAAUAAAAUGCAAAAUGGCUCCAUAGCGCCCCCUAAGGUGAAAAUUCACACUAUUGACUGUCACGCCUGUACGCUUUGUCAUAUUGACACAAAAAUUGACACACAUAUGUAUCUCAAUAAGAUCUACAAAAAAGUCAGUGCGGCCGUAUCUGUCAAAAUUACGGUUAAAGGGUUAUUUCGCAUUUUUUGCCGAUCCGCACACAUUGGAAUUUCGCUAACUCCUCCGAAGGCUUUCGUUCCACCGGCACCACAUUUGCUCAGGCCAAUCUACACCCCGUGGCCAUUAAAAGUUAUCAAAAUCAUGACGCUGCACCCCACGGUUUAGGUUCUAGGGGGCGCCAAAGAUAACCCUAAAAUCCACAUAUUUAAAAGUCUUAUAACUUUUUAUUUUUGUCCUCACUGGCCUCCAAGUUUUCUAGGAUGAUGCAAUGUCCAGCCAUCAACACAUUUGUGAAGGAAUUUUUACUCCCCAAAAGAGCGCCCCCCCAUGGCAGGAGAAAAAAGUCCAUUUUUUCUUGUCCCCUAAGGUGAAAAUACACAUUGUUGAGUGUCACGCCUAUACGCUUUGUCAAAAUGACACAAAAAUUGACACACACAUGUAACUCAAUAAGAUCUACAAAAAAGUCAAUGCGCGCGUAUCUGUCAAAUGUACGGUUAAAGGGUUAUUCCGCAUUUUUUGCCGAUCCGCACACAUUGGAAUUUCGCUAACUCCUCCGAAGGCUUUCGUUCCACCGGCACCACAUUUGCUCAGGCCAAUCUACACCCCAUGGCCAUUAAAAGUUAUUCAAAUCAUGACGCUGCACCCCACGGUUUAGGUUCUAGGGGGCGCCAAAAAUAACCCUAAAAUCCACAUAUUUAAAAGUCUUAUAACUUUUUAUUUUUGUCCUCACUGGCCUCCAAGUUUUCUAGGAUGAUGCAAUGUCCAGCCAUCAACACAUUUGUGAAGGAAUUUUUACUCCCCAAAAGAGCGCUCCCCCCAUGGUAGGAGAAAAAAGUCCAUUUUUUCUUGUCCCCUUACAUGAAAAUACACAUUGUUGAGUGUCACGCCUGAACGCUUUGUCAUAUUGACACAAAAAUUGACAAUCAUGUGUAUCUCAAUUAGAUCUACGAAAAAGUCAAAGAGCGCGUAUCUGUAUAAUGUACGGUUAAAGGGCUAUUUUGCAUUUUUUGCCGAUUCGCACACAUUGGAAUGUGGCUAUCUCCUCCUAAGGCUUUCGUCCCACCGAUACCAAAUUUGCUCAGGGCAAUCUACACCCCAUGCCCAUUCAAAGUUGUAAAAAUCAUGACGCUGCACCCCACGGUUUACGUUCUAGGGGGCGCCAAAGAUGACCCAAAAAUCCACAUUCUUAAAAGUCAUUUUGGCCACUGCAGGAGUACAGAGUACUGCAGUUCUAGGGGCGCCAAAGAUGACCCAAAAAUCCACAUUCUUAAAAGUCUUUUUGGCCACUGCAGGAGUACAGAGUACUGCAGGAUACACACACAUAUACACACACGCCAACAUACACACACACACACACACACACACACACACACACACACACACACACACACACACACACACUCAGAGUCUGGUUUUUAGCACCUGCAAAAACAUGCUGUUUACAUAUUUGACAAGAAUGCAGAGGCUUCCUUUUGCCCCUGAAAAAAAUCAAUUUUCAAACACAACUUGACUGUUCAUUUCUCCAAAAGACAACCAAGAAGCUCCAUUUCAAACCUGAAGCAGAUAGUUGGUGCAUGUGUACAGUAACCUGAGGGGAGUGAGGUGACUAUUUCUGAGGAGAACAUGAGCAGUGAAGAUUCACCUUGGAGCUAGAACAGGGACGUGCACAUGAUUAUACAGGGGCAGGGGCUCAAGUUUUUUCCAGUCAUUUAUACAAUAUGGAAAUUAAUGUGAAAUUAAACCACAAAUAUGUGUGAUGAACUGUUUUUAAAACUUAAACUUCAAAUAAAAAUUGUAAACUUCAAAACAUAUGCAAAUUUUUAACAAAGAACAUAGUAAUUUACCUCUAUUGACAUCAAAAUGCAGGCAAUGGCCCAGGUGUUCUUUGUAAAAUUAUUUACAAAACACUGUAUAGUCUCACAAAUGUCACUUUUUAUUUAUGCCACUACAAAAAAACAUGAUGUAAUUGAUGCAUGAUGUAAAACAUGAUGUAAAAAACUUGUGUAGAUCCUCCUCUAUGUUAGUCCAUGUGUAAUUUUUCCAUAAUUCUUUGUUUUUUGCAGCAUUUUUGUUAGUGUAACUGCAGAUUGUGCUGACAGUGUCUAUGGCACAAAAAAAAAAAAAAAACUGAAAAUGCCUCAACAUGAACCCCUGGUGGUCUCUGAGGGUGAAACCUGCUAACUGCUGCAGCUCUGUCAGCUUCAGUCUCCCAUGCAGAGCUCGGAGCGCAUGUGUGGCUCUGCACCCUUAGCAGCAUUGCUAACUCCUCAGUAAGGAAAGCCUGCUUCAUGUCAGAGUCUCUAAACUCCAGAAGAAGUCGAUAAAAGUCACUUUCUUUCUAAAAAAAAGUCGUUAGGGGGUCUGAAAAGUCAUUGAAUCUAACAACAAAGUCGCUAGGUUUGCAACUACGUGUCCCAGACUGCAUCCCUGCUGAGAGUCCCUCCCUCCCUUCUCAUAUUGCAGGAAGAACGUAAGUUCCCGCCCCUUGUCAAUCAGUCACCAUAUAAUUUUGGAUUGGUUGUUGUGGUGAAGUUUUCCACCAAUAGGAGAGAUGUUGUGGUGUGUAUUUUUUUUCCUUUGGCAAGCCUUUUCCGCCUGUAAGACCUGUCGCUAAUGUCUGCAUGCUAUGUUUUCCUGUCUCAUACAGCGCGAUCGAGCGCCGAACGUGAUCAAAAUAAGCAGAAAACAAGUAUCGCGGACAUAAUUUAUCAUAACUCUGUUUAUUUGGCCUAUCAACACAAUUUAAAAACUGGUAUAUAGGUUGAGGUCCUCACUUUUGAGAUAAAUUGAAACGGAGAGUCAACGAGGCUCCGUCUUGCAGCUACAUCCGGUUAAAUAUGUCAUGUGACUUGAACGCACACACACACACACACACACACACAGACACACACACACACGCACACACACACACUCAGAGUCUGGUUUGUAGCACCUGCAAAAACAUGCUAUUUACAUAUUUGACAAGAAUGCAGAGGCUCCUUUUGCCCCUGAAAAAAAUCAAAUUUCAAACACAACUUGACUGGUCAUUUCUCCAAAAGACAACCAUGAAGCUCCAUCCAAACCUGAAGCAGGCAGUUGGUGCAUGUGUACAGUAACCUGAGGGGAGUGAGGUGACUGCUUCUGAGGAGAACAUGAGCAGUGAAGAUUUACCUUAGAGCUAGAACAGAGACGUGCACAUGAUUAUACAGGGGCAGGGGCUCAAGUUUUUUCCAGUCGUUUAUACAAUUUGGAAAUUAAUGUGAAAUUAAAAAACAAAGUAUUAAUAGAAAGGUAAUGACUGUCCUGUGUAGGUGACAGUGAUAUCCAAUAGGCUAGGCACUCACGAGGCUGGCUGUGGCAAGUGUAAAUGAAAGCAACACGCACUGGCAGGAAGAACAGCAAACGCCGAUGAAGGAAAAGGGUCUUUGCAGUGAUGGGCGUUACCAAAGAGGGCGAUGGCCAGAGGACACAAAUGGGACGGGGAGGCAGCGCGUUGGGGGGGGGACGCGACACAGCUCGGGCCCGCCAGUGCCCCAACGGGGUCCUAGUUAGGGCCCGAGCGUAGCUGCUAAGCAGCUGCGAGAGCCCUCUUGUUCCUGAUGGAUUCUUCUUUUGUUAUUAUUAUUAGGGCCCGAGCGUAGCUGCUAAGCAGCUGCGAGAGCCCUCUUGUUCCUGAUGGAUUCUUCUUUUGUUAUUAUUAUUAUUAUUUUUCCUCCGCUUUAAACUGGAAAAUGGCCCACUUCCCACUGGCGAAAACUCAUGAAAUUUGGCAGGACGACCGGGCCUGGUGAAAAAUUCGAUAUUCUGAAGUCGCCCAAACAAUAAAAUGCAAAAUGGCUCCAUAGCGCCCCCUAAGGUGGAAAUUCACACUAUUGACUGUCACGUCUGUACGUUUUGUCAUAUUGACACAAAAAUUGACACACAUAUGUAUCUCAAUAAGAUCUACAAAAAAGUCAGUGCGGGCGUAUCUGUCAAAUGUACGGUUAAAGGGUUAUUUCGCAUUUUUUGCCGAUCCGCACACAUUGGAAUUUCGCUAACUCCUCCGAAGGCUUUCGUUCCACCGGCACCACAUUUGCUCAGGCCAGUCUACACCCCAUGGCCAUUAAAAGUUGUACAAAUCAUGACGCUGCACCCCACGGUUUAGGUUCUAGGGGGCGCCAAAGAUAACCCAAAAAUCCACAUUCUUAAAAGUCUUAUAACUUUUUAUUUUUGUCCUCACUGCCCUCCAAGUUUUCUAGGAUGAUGCAAUGUCCAGCCAUCAACACAUUUGUGAAGGAAUUUUUACUCCCCAAAAGAGCGCCCCCCCAUGGCAGGAGAAAAAAGUCAAUUUUUUCUUGUCCCCUUACAUGAAAAUACACAUUGUUGAGUGUCACGCCUGAACGCUUUGUCAUAUUGACACAAAAAUUGACAAUCAUGUGUAUCUCAAUUAGAUCUACGAAAAAGUCAAAGAGCGCGUAUCUGUAUAAUGUACGGUUAAAGGGCUAUUUCGCAUUUUUUGCCGAUUCGCACACAUUGGAAUGUGGCUAUCUCCUCCUAAGGCUUUCGUCCCACUGAUACCAAAUUUGCUCAGGGCAAUCUACACCCCAUGCCCAUUCAAAGUUGUAAAAAUCAUGACGCUGCACCGCACGGUUUACGUUCUAGGGGGCGCCAAAGAUGACCCAAAAAUCCACAUUCUUAAAAGUCAUUUUGGCCACUGCAGGAGUACAGAGUACUGCAGUUCUAGGGGGCGCCAAAGAUGACCCAAAAAUCCACAUUCUUAAAAGUCUUUUGGCCACUGCAGGAGUACAGAGUACUGCAGGAUACACACACAUAUACACACACGCCAACACACACACACACACACACACACACACACACUCAGAGUCUGUUUUUUAGCACCUGCAAAAACAUGCUGUUUACAUAUUUGACAAGAAUGCAGAGGCUUCCUUUUGCCCCUGAAAAAAAUCAAAUUUCAAACACAACUUGACUGUUCAUUUCUCCAAAAGACAACCAUGAAGCUCCAUCCAAACCUGAAGCAGAUAGUUGGUGCAUGUGUACAGUAACCUGAGGGGAGUGAGGUGACUAUUUCUGAGGAGAACAUGAGCAGUGAAGAUUCACCUUGGAGCUAGAACAGGGACGUGCACAUGAUUUAUACAGGGGCAGGGGCUCAAGUUUUUUCCAGUCAUUUAUACAAUAUGGAAAUUAAUGUGAAAUUAAAAACAAAGUAUUAAUAGAAAGGUUAUGACUGUCCUGUGUAGAUGACAGUGAUAUCCAAUAGGCUAGGCACUCACGAGGCUGGCUGUGGCAAGUGUAAGUGAAAGCAACACGCACUGGCAGGAAGAACAGCAAACGCCGAUGAAGGAAAGGGUCUUUGCAGUGAUGGGCGUUACCAGAGAGGACGAUGGCCAGAGGACGCGAAUGGGACGGGGAGGCAGCGCGUUGGGGGGGGCAGCGCGACACGGCUCGGGCCCGCCAGUGCCCCAACGGGGCCCUAGUUAUUAUUUUUCCUCCGCUUUAAACUGGAAAAUGGCCCACUUCCCACUGGCGAAAACUCAGGAAAUUUGGCAGGACGACCGGGCCUGGUGAAAAAUUCGAUAUUCUGAAGUCGCCCAAACAAUAAAAUGCAAAAUGGCUCCAUAGCGCCCCCUAAGGUGGAAAUUCACACUAUUGACUGUCACGUCUGUACGUUUUGUCAUAUUGACACAAAAAUUGACACACAUAUGUAUCUCAAUAAGAUCUACAAAAAAGUCAGUGCGGGCGUAUCUGUCAAAUGUACAGUUAAAGGGUUAUUUCGCAUUUUUUGCCGAUCCGCACACAUUGGAAUUUCGCUAACUCCUCCGAAGGCUUUCGUUCCACCGGCACCACAUUUGCUCAGGCCAGUCUACACCCCAUGGCCAUUAAAAGUUGUACAAAUCAUGACGCUGCACCCCACGGUUUAGGUUCUAGGGGGCGCCAAAGAUAACCCAAAAAUCCACAUUCUUAAAAGUCUUAUAACUUUUUAUUUUUGUCCUCACUGCCCUCCAAGUUUUCUAGGAUGAUGCAAUGUCCAGCCAUCAACACAUUUGUGAAGGAAUUUUUACUCCCCAAAAGAGCGCCCCCCAUGGCAGGAGAAAAAAGUCAAUUUUUUCUUGUCCCCUUACAUGAAAAUACACAUUGUUGAGUGUCACGCCUGAACGCUUUGUCAUAUUGACACAAAAAUUGACAAUCAUGUGUAUCUCAAUUAGAUCUACGAAAAAGUCAAAGAGCGCGUAUCUGUAUAAUGUACGGUUAAAGGGCUAUUUCGCAUUUUUUGCCGAUUCGCACACAUUGGAAUGUGGCUAUCUCCUCCUAAGGCUUUCGUCCCACUGAUACCAAAUUUGCUCAGGGCAAUCUACACCCCAUGCCCAUUCAAAGUUGUAAAAAUCAUGACGCUGCACCCACGGUUUACGUUCUAGGGGCGCCAAAGAUGACCCAAAAAUCCACAUUCUUAAAAGUCAUUUUGGCCACUGCAGGAGUACAGAGUACUGCAGUUCUAGGGGGCGCCAAAGAUGACCCAAAAAUCCACAUUCUUAAAAGUCUUUUGGCCACUGCAGGAGUACAGAGUACUGCAGGAUACACACACAUUCUUAAAUACACACACAGAGUACUGCAGGAUACACACACAUAUACACACACACACACACACACACACACACACACACACACACAGAGUCUGUUUUUUAGCACCUGCAAAAACAUGCUGUUUACAUAUUUGACAAGAAUGCAGAGGCUUCCUUUUGCCCCUGAAAAAAAUCAAAUUUCAAACACAACUUGACUGUUCAUUUCUCCAAAAGACAACCAUGAAGCUCCAUCCAAACCUGAAGCAGAUAGUUGGUGCAUGUGUACAGUAACCUGAGGGGAGUGAGGUGACUAUUUCUGAGGAGAACAUGAGCAGUGAAGAUUCACCUUGGAGCUAGAACAGGGACGUGCACAUGAUUAUACAGGGGCAGGGGCUCAAGUUUUUUCCAGUCAUUUAUACAAUAUGGAAAUUAAUGUGAAAUUAAAAAACAAAGUAUUAAUAGAAAGGUAAUGACUGUCCUGUGUAGGUGACAGUGAUAUCCAAUAGGCUAGGCACUCACGAGGCUGGCUGUGGCAAGUGUAAGUGAAAGCAACACGCACUGGCAGGAAGAACAGCAAACGCCGAUGAAGGAAAGGGUCUUUGCAGUGAUGGGCGUUACCAGAGAGGACGAUGGCCAGAGGACGCGAAUGGGACGGGGAGGCAGCGCGUUGGGGGGGGCAGCGCGACACGGCUCGGGCCCGCCAGUGCCCCAACGGGGCCCUAGUUAUUAUUUUUCCUCCCCUUUGAACUGGAAAAUGGCCCACUUCCCACUGGCGAAAACUCAUGAAAUUUGGCAGGAAGACCGGGCCUGGUGAAAAAUUUGAUAUUCCGAAGUCGCCCAAACAAGAAAAUGCAAAAUGGCUCCAUAGCGCCCCCUAAGGUGAAAAUUCACACUAUUCACUGUCACGCCUGUACGCUUUGUCAAAAUGACACAAAAAUUGACACACACAUGUAUCUCAAUAAGAUCUACAAAAAAGUCAGUGCGGGCGUAUCUGUCAAAUGUACGGUUAAAGGGUUAUUUCGCAUUUUUUGCCGAUCCGCACACAUUGGAAUUUCGCUAACUCCUCCGAAGGCUUUCGUUCCACCGGCACCACAUUUGCUCAGGCCAAUCUACACCCCAUGGCCAUUAAAAGUUAUUCAAAUCAUGACGCUGCACCCCACGGUUUAGGUUCUAGGGGGCGCCAAAGAUAACCUAAGAUCCACAUAUUUAAAAGUCUUAUAACUUUUUAUUUUUGUCCUCACUGGCCUCCAAGUUUUCUAGGAUGAUGCAAUGUCCAGCCAUCAACACAUUUGUGAAGGAAUUUUUACUCCCCAAAAGAGCGCCCCCCCAUGGCAGGAGAAAAAAGUCCAUUUUUUCUUGUCCCCUAAGGUGAAAAUACACAUUGUUGAGUGUCACGCCUAUACGCUUUGUCAAAAUGACACAAAAAUUGACACACACAUGUAACUCAAUAAGAUCUACAAAAAAGUCCAUGCGCGUGUAUCUGUCAAAUGUACAGUUAAAGGGUUAUUCCGCAUUUUUUGCCGAUCCGCACACAUUGGAAUUUCGCUAACUCCUCCGAAGGCUUUCGUUCCACCGGCACCACAUUUGCUCAGGCCAAUCUACACCCCAUGGCCAUUAAAAGUUAUUCAAAUCAUGAUGCUGCACCCCAUGGUUUAGGUUCUAGGGGGCGCCAAAAAUAACCCAAAAAUCCACAUUCUUAAAUGUUUUAUAACUUUUUAUUUUUGUCCUCACUGGCCUCCAAGUUUUCUAGGAUGAUGCAAUGUCCAGCCAUCAACACAUUUGUGAAGGAAUUUUUACUCCCCAAAAGAGCGCCCCCCCAUGGUAGGAGAAAAAAGUCCAUUUUUUUUGUCCCCUUACAUAAAAAUACACAUUGUUGAGUGUCACGCCUGAACGCUUUGUCAUAUUGACACAAAAAUUGACAAUCAUGUGUAUCUCAAUUAGAUCUACGAAAAAGUCAAAGAGCGCGUAUCUGUAUAAUGUACGGUUAAAGGGCUAUUUUGCAUUUUUUGCCGAUUCGCAAACACUGGAAUGUGGCUAUCUCCUCCUAAGGCUUUCGUCCCACCGAUACCAAAUUUGCUCAGGGCAAUCUACACCCCAUGCCCAUUCAAAGUUGUAAAAAUCAUGACGCUGCACCCCACGGUUUACGUUCUAGGGGGCGCCAAAGAUGACCCAAAAAUCCACAUUCUUAAAAGUCAUUUUGGCCACUGCAGGAGUACAGAGUACUGCAGUUCUAGGGGGCGCCAAAGAUGACCCAAAAAUCCACAUUCUUAAAAGUCUUUUUGGCCACUGCAUGAGUACAGAGUACUGCAGGAUACACACACAUAUACACACAGGCCAACACACACAGACACACACACACACUCAGAGUCUGUUUUUUAGCACCUGCAAAAACAUGCUGUUUACAUAUUUGACAAGAAUGCAGAGGCUUCCUUUUGCCCCUGAAAAAAAUCAAAUUUCAAACACAACUUGACUGUUCAUUUCUCCAAAAGACAACCAUGAAGCUCCAUUUCAAACCUGAAGCAGAUAGUUGGUGCAUGUGUACAGUAACCUGAGGGGAGUGAGGUGACUAUUUCUGAGGAGAACAUGAGCAGUGAAGAUUCACCUUGGAGCUAGAACAGGGACGUGCACAUGAUUAUACAGGGGCAGGGGCUCAAGUUUUUUCCAGUCAUUUAUACAAUAUGGAAAUUAAUGUGAAAUUAAACCACAAAUAUGUGUGAUGAACUGUUUUUAAAACUUAAACUUCAAAUAAAAAUUGUAAACUUCAAAACAUAUGCAAAUUUUUAACAAAGAACAUAGUAAUUUACCUCUAUUUACAUCAAAAUGCAGGCAAUGGCCCAGGCGUUCUUUGUAAAAUUAUUUACAAAACACUGUAUAGUCUCACAAAUGUCACUUUUUAUUUAUGCCACUACAAAAAAACAUGAUGUAAAUGAUGCAUGAUGUAAAACAUGAUGUAAAAAACUUGUGUAGAUCCUCCUCUAUGUCAGUCCAUGUGUAAUUUUUCCAUAAUUCUUUAUUUUUUGCAGCAUUUUUGUUAGUGUAACUGCAGAUUGUGCUGACAGUGUCUAUGGCACAAAAAAAAAAAAAAAUUAAAAUGCCUCAACAUGAACCCCUGGUGGUCUCUGAGGGUGAAACCUGCUAACUGCUGCAGCUCUGUCAGCUUCAGUCUCCCAUGCAGAGCUCUGAGUGCAUGUGUGGCUCUGCACCCUUAGCAGCGUUGCUAACUCCUCAGUAAGGAAAGCCUGCUUCAUGUCAGAGUCUCUAAACUCCAGAAGAAGUCGAUAAAAGUCCCUUUCUUUCUAAAAAAAAGUCGUUAGGGGGUCUGAAAAGUCAUUGAAUCUAACAACAAAGUCGCUAGGUUUGCAACUACGUGUCCCAGACUGCAUCCCUGCUGAGAGUCCCUCCCUCCCUUCUCAUGUUGCAGGAAGAACGUAAGCGCCCGCCCUUUGUCAAUCAGUCACCAUAUAAUUUUGGAUUGGUUGUUGUGGUGAAGUUUUCCACCAAUAGGAGAGAUGUUGUGGUGUGUUUUUUUUUUCUUUUGGCAAGCCUUUUCCGCCUGUAAGACCUGUCGCUAAUGUCUGCAUGCUAUGUUUUCCUGUCUCAUACAGCGCGAUCGAGCGCCGAACGUGAUCAAAAUAAGCAGAAAAAAAGUAUCGCGGACAUAAUUUAUCAUAACUCUGGUUUUAUUUGGCCUAUCAACACAAUUUAAAAACUGGUAUAUAGGUUGAGGUCCUCACUUUUGAGAUAAGUUGAAACAGAGAGUCAACGAGGCUCCGUCUUGCAGCUACAUCCGGUUAAAUAUGUCAUGUGACUUGAACGCACACACACACACACAGACACACACACACGCACAGACACACACACACACACACUCAGAGUCUGGUUUUUAGCACCUGCAAAAACAUGCUAUUUACAUAUUUGACAAGAAUGCAGAGGCUCCUUUUGCCCCUGAAAAAAAUCAAAUUUCAAACACAACUUGACUGCUCAUUUCUCCAAAAGACAACCAUGAAGCUCCAUCCAAACCUGAAGCAGGCAGUUGGUGCAUGUGUACAGUAACCUGAGGGGAGUGAGGUGACUGCUUCUGAGGAGAACAUGAGCAGUGAAGAUUCACCUUGGAGCUAGAACAGAGACAUGCACAUGAUUAUACAGGGGCAGGGGCUCAAGUUUUUUCCAGUCGUUUAUACAAUAUGGAAAUUAAUGUGAAAUUAAAACACAAAGUAUUAAUAGAAAGGUAAUGACUGUCCUGUGUAGGUGACAGUGAUAUCCAAUAGGCUAGGCACUCACGAGGCUGGCUGUGGCAAGUGUAAGUGAAAGCAACACGCACUGGCAGGAAGAACAGCAAACGCCGAUGAAGGAAAAGGGUCUUUGCAGUGAUGGGCGUUACCAGAGAGGACGAUGGCCAGAGGACACAAAUGGGACGGGGAGGCAGCACGUUGGGGGGGGGACGCGACACGGCUCGGGCCCGCCAGUGCCCCAACGGGGUCCUAGUUAGGGCCCGAGCGUAGCUGCUAAGCAGCUGCGAGAGCCCUCUUGUUCCUGAUGGAUUCUUCUUUCGUUAUUUUUCCUCCGCUUUAAACUGGAAAAUGGCCCACUUCCCACUGGCGAAAACUCAGGAAAUUUGGCAGGACGACCGGGCCUGGUGAAAAAUUUGAUAUUCUGAAGUCGUCCAAACAAAAAAAUGAAAAAUGGCUCCAUAGCGCCCCCUAUGGUGAAAACUCACCUGAUGCCUGUACGCUUUGUCAAAAUGACACAAAAUUUGACACACAUGUGUAUCUCAAUAAGAUCUACGAAAAAGUCAGUGCGGGCGUAUCUGUCAAAUGUACGGUUAAAGGGCUAUUUCGCUUUUUUUGCCGAUCCGCACACAUUGGAAUUUCGCUAACUCCUCCAAAGGCUUUCGUUCCACCGGCACCAAAUUUGCUCAGGGCAAUCUACACCCCAUGGCCAUUAAAAGUUGUACAAAUCAUGACGCUGCACCCCACAGUUUAGGUUCUAGGCGGCGCCAAAGAUAACCCAAAAAUCCACAUUCUUAAAAGUCUUAUAACUUUUUAUUUUUGUCCUCACUGGCCUCCAAGGUUUCUAGGAUGAUGCAAUGUCCAGCCAUCAACACAUUUGUGAAGGAAUUUUUACUCCCCAAAAGAGCGCCCCCCCAUGGCAGGAGAAAAAAGUCCAUUUUUUCUUGUCUCCUAAGGUAAAAAUACACAUUGUUGAGUGUCACGCCUAUACACUUUGUCAUAUUGACACACAAUUUGACAAUCACGUGUAUCUCAAUAAGAUCUACAAAAAAGUCAAUAGGCACGUAUCUGUCAAAUGUACGGUUAAAGGGCUAUUUUGCAUUUUUUGCCGAUUCGCACACAUUGGAAUGUGGCUAUCUCCUCCUAAGGCUUUCGUCCCACCGAUACUAAAUUUGCUCAGGGCAAUCUACACCCCAUGCCCAUUCAAAGUUGUAAAAAUCAUGCCGCUGCACCCCACGGUUUACGUUCUAGGGGGCGCCAAAGAUGACCCAAAUAUCCAUAUUCUUAAAAGUGUUAUAACUUUUUAUUUUUGUCCUCACUGGCCUCCAAGUUUUCUAGGAUGAUGCAAUGUCCAGCCAUCAACACAUUUGUAAAGGAAUUUUUACUCCCGAAAAAGAGCGCCCCCCCAUGGCAGGAGAAAAGAGUCCAUUUUUUCUUGUCCCCUAAGGUGAAAAAACACAUUGUUGACUGUCACGCCUAUACGCUUUGUCAAAAUGACACAAAAUUUGACACACACGUGUAUCUCAAUAAGAUCUACGAAAAAGUCAAUGGGCACGUAUCUGUAAAAUGUACGGUUAAAGGGCUAUUUCGCAUUUUUUGCCGAUUCGCACACAUUGGAAUGUGGCUAACUCCUCCUAAGGCUUUCGUCCCACCAACACCAAAUUUGCUCAAGCCGAUCUACAUCCCAUGGCCAUUCAAAGUUGUAGAAAUCAUGACGCUGCUCCCCACGGUUUACGUUCUAGGGGGCGCCAAAGAUGACCCAAAUAUCCACAUUCUUAAAAGAAUCCACAUCGCCCCCCCCCCCCCCCCCCGCCCCCAGGAGAAAAAGUCAAGUUAACCCUGCCCAUCGGUCAAUGGCUCAAUCGCAUCGCUCUCCCAGCAACACCGUAAGGAGGAGCAACUUGCCAUUUGGAUAUAUCCUAGCUGUGUUUGUGCCCUCACUCAUGGUCCAGACUUUUUUCAAAUAGGACAUGUAGUUUGUCUGCAGCGAGCGUUUUGGUAGAAACUGCGCCUCCCAUUCAUUAUAAUGGUAAAUGACCACAGACAAGUGCGCACACCAUCUUUGGACCUUGAGUGUGACGCGAUCGGGAGGGGGAGGCGGUCGCGCUGGGGGCGGCGCGACGCGGCUCGGGCCCGCCAGUGCCCCACCGGGGCCCUAGUUAUUAUUUUUCCUCCGCUUUAAACUGGAAAAUGGCCCACUUCCCACUGGCGAAAACUCAUGAAAUUUGGCAGGACGACCGGGCCUGGUGAAAAAUUCGAUAUUCUGAAGUCGCCCAAACAAGAAAAUGCAAAAUGGCUCCAUAGCGCCCCCUAAGGUGAAAAUUCACACUAUUGACUGUCACGCCUGUACGCUUUGUCAUAUUGACACAAAAAUUGACACACACAUGUAUCUCAAUAAGAUCUACAAAAAAGUCAGCGCGGGCGUAUCUGUCAAAUGUACGGUUAAAGGGUUAUUUUGCAUUUUUUGCAGAUCCGCACACAUUGGAAUUUCGCUAACUCCUCCGAAGGCUUUCGUUCCACCGGCACCACAUUUGCUCAGGCCAAUCUACACUCCAUGGCCAUUCAAAGUUGUACAAAUCAUAAUGCUGCACCCCAUGGUUUAGGUUCUAGGGGGCGCCAAAAAUAACCCAAAAAUCCACAUUCUUAAAAGUUUUAUAAAUUUUUUUUUUGUCCUCACUGGCCUCCAAGUUUUCUAGGAUGAUGCAAUGUCCAGCCAUCAACACAUUUGUGAAGGAAUUUUUACUCCCCAAAAGAGCGCCCCCCCAUGGCAGGAAUAAAAAGUCCAUUUUUUCUUGUCCCCUAAGGUGAAAAUACACAUUGUUGAGUGUCACGCCUGUACACUUUGUCGUAUUGACAAAAAAUUUGACACACACGUGUAUCUCAAUAAGAUCUACGAAAAAGUCAAUGGGCGCGUAUCUGUAAAAUGUACGGCUAAAGGGCUAUUUUGCAUUUUUUGCCGAUUCGCACACAUUGGAAUGUGGCUAACUCCUCCUAAGGCUUUCGUCCCACUGACACCAAAUUUGCUCAGGCCAAUCUACACCCCAUGGCCAUUCAAAGUUGUAAAAAUCAUGCCGCUGCACCCCAUGGUUUACGUUCUAGGGGGCGCCAAAGAUGACCCAAAUAUCCACAUUCUUAAAAGUCGUUUUGGCCACUGCAGGAGUACAGAGUACUGCAGGAUACACACACACAGACACACACACACACAGACACACACACACACACACACACACACACACACACACACACACACACUCAGAGUCUGUUUUUUAGCACCUGCAAAAACAUGCUAUUUACAUAUUUGACAACAAUGCAGAGGCUUCCUUUUGCCCCUGAAAAAAAUCAAAUUUCUAACACAACUUGACUGCUCAUUUCUCCAAAAGACAACCAUGAAGCUCCAUCCAAACCUGAAGCAGGCAGUUGGUGCAUGUGUACAGUAACCUGAGGGGAGUGAGGUGACUGCUUCUGAGGAGAACAUGAGCAGUGAAGAUUCACCUUGGAGCGAGAACAGGGACGUGCACAUGAUUAUACGGGGGCAGGGGCUCAAGUUUUUUCCAGUCGUUUAUACAAUAUGGAAAUUAAUGUGAAAUUAAAAAACAAAGUAUUAAUAGAAAGGUAAUGACUGUCCUGUGUAGGUGACAGUGAUAUCCAAUAGGCUAGGCACUCACAAGGCUGGCUGUGGCAAGUGUAAGUGAAAGCAACACGCACUGGCAGGAAGAACAGCAAACGCCGAUGAAGGAAAAGGGUCUUUGCAGUGAUGGGCGUUACCAGAGAGGACGAUGGCCAGAGGACGCGAAUGGGACGGGGAGGCAGCGCGUUGGGGGGGGGGGGCGACACAGCUCGGGCCCGCCAGUGCCCCAACGGGGCCCUAGUUUGUUAUUAGGGCCCGAGCGUAGCUGCUAAGCAGCUGCGAGAGCCCUCUUGUUCCUGAUGGAUUCUUCUUUCGUUAUUUUUCCUCCGCUUUAAACUGGAAAAUGGCCCACUUCCCACUGGCGAAAACUCAGGAAAUUUGGCAGGACGACCGGGCCUGGUGAAAAAUUUGAUAUUCUGAAGUCGUCCAAACAAAAAAAUGAAAAAUGGCUCCAUAGCGCCCCCUAUGGUGAAAACUCACCUGAUGCCUGUACGCUUUGUCAAAAUGACACAAAAUUUGACACACACAUGUAUCUCAAUAAGAUCUACGAAAAAGUCAGUGCGGGCGUAUCUGUCAAAUGUACGGUUAAAGGGCUAUUUCGCUUUUUUUGCCGAUCCGCACACAUUGGAAUUUCGCUAACUCCUCCGAAGGCUUUCGUUCCACCGGCACCACAUUUGCUCAGGCCAAUCUACACCCCAUGGCCAUUAAAAGUUGUACAAAUCAUGACGCUGCACCCCACGGUUUACGUUCUAGGGGGCGCCAAAGAUAACCCAAAAAUCCACAGUCUUAAAAGUCUUAUAACUUUUUAUUUUUGUCCUCACUGGCCUCCAAGUUCUCUAGGAUGAUGCAAUGUCCAGCCAUCAACACAUUUGUGAAGGAAUUUUUACUCGCCAAAAGAGCGCCCCCCAUGGCAGGAGAAAAAAGUCCAUUUUUUCUUGUCUCCUAAGGCGAAAAUUCACACUAUUGACUGUCACGCCUUUACGCUUUGUCAUAUUGACACAAAAAUUGACAUACACAUGUAUCUCAAUAAGAUCUACAAAAAAGUCAGUGCGGGCGUAUCUGUCAAAUGUACGGUUAAAGGGUUAUUUCGCAUUUUUUGCCGAUCCGCACACAUUGGAAUUUGGCUAACUCCUCCGAAGGCUUUCGUUCCACCGGCACCACAUUUGCUCAGGCCAAUCUACACCCCAUGGCCAUUAAAAGUUGUACAAAUCAUGAUGCUGCACCCCACGGUUUACGUUCUAGGGGGCGCCAAAGAUAACCCAAAUAUCCACAGUCUUAAAAGUCUUAUAACUUUCUAAUUUUGUCCUCACUGGCCUCCAAGUUCUCUAGGAUGAUGCAAUGUCCAGCCAUCAACACAUUUGUGAAGGAAUUUUUACUCGCCAAAAGAGCGCCCCCCAUGGCAGGAGAAAAAAGUCCAUUUUUUCUUGUCUCCUAAGGCGAAAAUACACAUUGUUGACUGUCACGCCUUUACGCUUUGUCAAAAUGACACAAAAUUUGACACACACAUGUAUCUCAAUAAGAUCUACAAAAAAGUCAGUGCGGGCGUAUCUGUCAAAUGUACGGUUAAAGGGUUAUUUCGCAUUUUUUGCCGAUCCGCACACAUUGGAAUUUCGCUAACUCCUCCGAAGGCUUUCGUUCCAACGGCACCACAUUUGCUCAGGCCAAUCUACACCCCAUGGCCAUUAAAAGUUGUACAAAUCAUGACGCUGCACCCCACGGUUUACGUUCUAGGGGGCGCCAAAGAUAACCCAAAAAUCCACAGUCUUAAAAGUCUUAUAACUUUUUAUUUUUGUCCUCACUGGCCUCCAAGUUCUCUAGGAUGAUGCAAUGUCCAGCCAUCAACACAUUUGUGAAGGAAUUUUUACUCGCCAAAAGAGCGCCCCCCAUGGCAGGAGAAAAAGUCAAGUUUUUCCUGCCCAUCGCUCAAUGGCUCAAACGCAUCGCUCUCUCGGCAAAACCGAAAGGAGGAGCAACUUGCCAUUUGGAUAUAUACUAGCUGUGUUUGUGCCCUCACUCAUGGUCCAGACUUUUUUCAAAAAGGACAUGGAGUUUGUCUGCAGCGAGCGUUUUGGUAGAAACUGCGCCUCCCAUUCAUUAUAAUGGUAAAUGACCACAGACAAGUGCGCACACCAUCUUUGGACCUUGAGUGUGACGCGAUCGGGAGGGGUAGGCGGUCGCGCUGGGGGUGGCGCGACACGGCUCGGGCCCGCCAGUGCCCCAACGGGGCCCUAGUUAUUAUUAUUAUUUUUCCUCCGCUUUAAACUGGAAAAUGGCCCACUUCCCACUGGCGAAAACUCAGGAAAUUUGGCAGGACGACCGGGCCUGGUGAAAAAUUCGAUAUUCUGAAGUCGCCCAAACAAUAAAAUGCAAAAUGGCUCCAUAGCGCCCCCUAAGGUGAAAAUUCACACUAUUGACUGUCACGCCUGUACGCUUUGUCAUAUUGACACAAAAAUUGACACACACAUGUAUCUCAAUAAGAUCUAAAAAAAAAGUCAGUGCGGGCGUAUCUGUCAAAUGUACGGUUAAAGGGUUAUUGCGCAUUUUUUGCCGAUCCGCACACAUUGGAAUUUCGCUAACUCCUCCGAAGGCUUUCGUUCCACCGGCACCACAUUUGCUCAGGCCAAUCUACACUCCAUGGCCAUUCAAAGUUGUACAAAUCAUGACGCUGCACCCCACGGUUUAGGUUCUAGGGGGCGCCAAAAAUAACCCUAAAAUCCACAUUCUUAAAAGUUUUAUAACUUUUUUUUUUUGUCCUCACUGCCCUCCAAGUUUUCUAGGAUGAUGCAAUGUCCAGCCAUCAACACAUUUGUGAAGGAAUUUUUACUCCCCAAAAGAGCGCCCCCCCAUGGCAGGAGAAAAAAGUCCAUUUUUUCUUGUCCCCUAAGGUGAAAAUACACAUUGUUGAGAUUCACGCCUGUACGCUUUGUCAUAUUGACAAAAAAUUUGACACACACGUGUAUCUCAAUAAGAUCUACGAAAAAGUCAAUGCACGCGUAUCUGUAAACUGUACGGCUAAAGGGCUAUUUUGCAUUUUUUGCCGAUUCGCACACAUUGGAAUGUGGCUUACUCCUCCUAAGGAUUUCGUCCCACUGACAACAAAUUUGCUCAGGCCAAUCUACACCCCAUGGCCAUUAAAAGUUGUAAAAAUCAUGACGCUGCACCCCACGGUUUACGUUCUAGGGGGCGCCAAAGAGGACCCAAAAAUCCACAUUCUUAAAAGUCUUAGAACUUUUUAUUUUUGUCCUCACUGGCCUCCAAGUUUUCUAGGAUGAUGCAAUGUCUAGCCAUCAACACAUUUGUGAAGGAAUUUUUACUCCCCAAAACAGCGCCCCCCCAUGGCCGGAGAAAAAGUCAAGUUUUUCCUGCCCAUCGCUCAAUGGCUCAAUCGCAUCGCUCUCCAGGCAACACCGUAAGGAGGAGCAACCUGCCAUUUGGAUAUAUCCUAGCUGUGUUUGUGCCCUCACUCAUGGUCCAGACUUUUUUCAAAUAGGACAUGUAGUUUGUCUGCAGCGAGCGUUUUGGUAGAAACUGCGCCUCCCAUUCAUUAUAAUGGUAAAUGACCACAGACAAGUGCGAACACCAUCUUUGGACCUUGAGUGUGACGCGAUCGGGAGGGAGAGGCGGUCGUGUUGGGGGCGGCGCGACACAGCUCGGGCCCGCCAGUGCCCCAACGGGGCCCUAGUCUUCUUAUUAGGGCCCGAGCGUAGCUGCUAAGCAGCUGCGAGAGCCCUCUUGUUCCUGAUGGAUUCUUCUUUCGUUAUUUUUCCUCCGCUUUAAACUGGAAAAUGGCCCACUUCCCACUGGCGAAAACUCAGGAAAUUUGGCAGGACGACCGGGCCUGGUGAAAAAUUUGAUAUUCUGAAGUCGUCCAAACAAAAAAAUGAAAAAUGGCUCCAUAGCGCCCCCUAUGGUGAAAACUCACCUGAUGCCUGUACGCUUUGUCAAAAUGACACAAAAUUUGACACACACAUGUAUCUCAAUAAGAUCUACGAAAAAGUCAGUGCGGGCGUAUCUGUCAAAUGUACGGUUAAAGGGCUAUUUCGCUUUUUUUGCCGAUCCGCACACAUUGGAAUUUCGCUAACUCCUCCGAAGGCUUUCGUUCCACCGGCACCACAUUUGCUCAGGCCAAUCUACACCCCAUGGCCAUUAAAAGUUGUACAAAUCAUGACGCUGCACCCCACGGUUUACGUUCUAGGGGGCGCCAAAGAUAACCCAAAAAUCCACAGUCUUAAAAGUCUUAUAACUUUUUAUUUUUGUCCUCACUGGCCUCCAAGUUCUCUAGGAUGAUGCAAUGUCCAGCCAUCAACACAUUUGUGAAGGAAUUUUUACUCGCCAAAAGAGCGCCCCCCAUGGCAGGAGAAAAAAGUCCAUUUUUUCUUGUCUCCUAAGGCGAAAAUUCACACUAUUGACUGUCACGCCUUUACGCUUUGUCAUAUUGACACAAAAAUUGACAUACACAUGUAUCUCAAUAAGAUCUACAAAAAAGUCAGUGCGGGCGUAUCUGUCAAAUGUACGGUUAAAGGGUUAUUUCGCAUUUUUUGCCGAUCCGCACACAUUGGAAUUUGGCUAACUCCUCCGAAGGCUUUCGUUCCACCGGCACCACAUUUGCUCAGGCCAAUCUACACCCCAUGGCCAUUAAAAGUUGUACAAAUCAUGAUGCUGCACCCCACGGUUUACGUUCUAGGGGGCGCCAAAGAUAACCCAAAUAUCCACAGUCUUAAAAGUCUUAUAACUUUUUAAUUUUGUCCUCACUGGCCUCCAAGUUCUCUAGGAUGAUGCAAUGUCCAGCCAUCAACACAUUUGUGAAGGAAUUUUUACUCGCCAAAAGAGCGCCCCCCCAUGGCAGGAGAAAAAAGUCCAUUUUUUCUUGUCUCCUAAGGCGAAAAUACACAUUGUUGACUGUCACGCCUUUACGCUUUGUCAAAAUGACACAAAAUUUGACACACACAUGUAUCUCAAUAAGAUCUACAAAAAAGUCAGUGCGGGCGUAUCUGUCAAAUGUACGGUUAAAGGGUUAUUUCGCAUUUUUUGCCGAUCCGCACACAUUGGAAUUUCGCUAACUCCUCCGAAGGCUUUCGUUCCAACGGCACCACAUUUGCUCAGGCCAAUCUACACCCCAUGGCCAUUAAAAGUUGUACAAAUCAUGACGCUGCACCCCACGGUUUACGUUCUAGGGGGCGCCAAAGAUAACCCAAAAAUCCACAGUCUUAAAAGUCUUAUAACUUUUUAUUUUUGUCCUCACUGGCCUCCAAGUUCUCUAGGAUGAUGCAAUGUCCAGCCAUCAACACAUUUGUGAAGGAAUUUUUACUCGCCAAAAGAGCGCACCCCCCAUGGCAGGAGAAAAAGUCAAGUUUUUCCUGCCCAUCGCUCAAUGGCUCAAACGCAUCGCUCUCUCGGCAAAACCGAAAGGAGGAGCAACUUGCCAUUUGGAUAUAUACUAGCUGUGUUUGUGCCCUCACUCAUGGUCCAGACUUUUUUCAAAAAGGACAUGGAGUUUGUCUGCAGCGAGCGUUUUGGUAGAAACUGCGCCUCCCAUUCAUUAUAAUGGUAAAUGACCACAGACAAGUGCGCACACCAUCUUUGGACCUUGAGUGUGACGCGAUCGGGAGGGGUAGGCGGUCGCGCUGGGGGUGGCGCGACACGGCUCGGGCCCGCCAGUGCCCCAACGGGGCCCUAGUUUCUUUUUAGGGCCCGAGCGUAGCUGCUAAGCAGCUGCGAGGCCCUAUUAUUCCUGUAGAGGUUUUUCUUUGUUUCUUUUUAGGGCCCGAGCGUAGCUGCUAAGCAGCUGCGAGAGCCCUCUUGUUCCUGAUGGAUUCUUCUUUCGUUAUUUUUCCUCCGCUUUAAACUGGAAAAUGGCCCACUUCCCACUGGCGAAAACUCAGGAAAUUUGGCAGGACGACCGGGCCUGGUGAAAAAUUUGAUAUUCUGAAGUCGUCCAAACAAAAAAAUGAAAAAUGGCUCCAUAGCGCCCCCUAUGGUGAAAACUCACCUGAUGCCUGUACGCUUUGUCAAAAUGACACAAAAUUUGACACACAUGUGUAUCUCAAUAAGAUCUACGAAAAAGUCAGUGCGGGCGUAUCUGUCAAAUGUACGGUUAAAGGGCUAUUUCGCUUUAUUUGCCGAUCCGCACACAUUGGAAUUUCGCUAACUCCUCCAAAGGCUUUCGUUCCACCGGCACCAAAUUUGCUCAGGGCAAUCUACACCCCAUGGCCAUUAAAAGUUGUACAAAUCAUGACGCUGCACCCCACAGUUUAGGUUCUAGGCGGCGCCAAAGAUAACCCAAAAAUCCACAUUCUUAAAAGUCUUAUAACUUUUUAUUUUUGUCCUCACUGGCCUCCAAGUUUUCUAGGAUGAUGCAAUGUCUAGCCAUCAACACAUUUGUGAAGGAAUUUUUACUCCCUAAAAGAGCGCCCCCCCAUGGCAGGAGAAAAAGUCAAGUUUUUCCUGCCCAUCGCUCAAUGACUCAAACACAUCGCUCUCUCGGCAAAACCGAAAGGAGGAGCAACUUGCCAUUUGGAUAUAUCCUAGCUGUGUUUGUGCCCUCACUCAUGGUCCAGACUUUUUUCAAAUAGGACAUGUAGUUUGUCUGCAGCGAGCGUUUUGGUAGAAACUGCGCCUCCCAUUCAUUAUAAUGGUAAAUGACCACAGACAAGUGCGCACACCAUCUUUGGACCUUGAGUGUGACGCGAUCGGGAGGGGGAGGCGGUCGCGCUGGGGGCGGCGCGACGCGGCUCGGGCCCGCCAGUGCCCCAACGGGGCCCUAGUUUCUUUUUAGGGCCCGAGCGUAGCUGCUAAGCAGCUGCGAGGCCCUAUUAUUCCUGUAGAGGUUUUUCUUUGUUUCUUUUUAGGGCCCGAGCGUAGCUGCUAAGCAGCUGCGAGAGCCCUCUUGUUCCUGAUGGAUUCUUCUUUCGUUAUUUUUCCUCCGCUUUAAACUGGAAAAUGGCCCACUUCCCACUGGCGAAAACUCAGGAAAUUUGGCAGGACGACCGGGCCUGGUGAAAAAUUUGAUAUUCUGAAGUCGUCCAAACAAAAAAAUGAAAAAUGGCUCCAUAGCGCCCCCUAUGGUGAAAACUCACCUGAUGCCUGUACGCUUUGUCAAAAUGACACAAAAUUUGACACACAUGUGUAUCUCAAUAAGAUCUACGAAAAAGUCAGUGCGGGCGUAUCUGUCAAAUGUACGGUUAAAGGGCUAUUUCGCUUUAUUUGCCGAUCCGCACACAUUGGAAUUUCGCUAACUCCUCCAAAGGCUUUCGUUCCACCGGCACCAAAUUUGCUCAGGGCAAUCUACACCCCAUGGCCAUUAAAAGUUGUACAAAUCAUGACGCUGCACCCCACAGUUUAGGUUCUAGGCGGCGCCAAAGAUAACCCAAAAAUCCACAUUCUUAAAAGUCUUAUAACUUUUUAUUUUUGUCCUCACUGGCCUCCAAGUUUUCUAGGAUGAUGCAAUGUCUAGCCAUCAACACAUUUGUGAAGGAAUUUUUACUCCCUAAAAGAGCGCCCCCCCAUGGCAGGAGAAAAAGUCAAGUUUUUCCUGCCCAUCGCUCAAUGACUCAAACACAUCGCUCUCUCGGCAAAACCGAAAGGAGGAGCAACUUGCCAUUUGGAUAUAUCCUAGCUGUGUUUGUGCCCUCACUCAUGGUCCAGUCCUUUUCAAAUAGGACAUGUAGUUUGUCUGCGGCGAGCGUUUUGGUAGAAACUGCGCCUCCCAUUCAUUAUAAUUGUAAAUGACCACAGACAAGUGCGCACACCAUCUUUGGACCUUGAGUGUGACGCGAUCGGUAGGGAGAGGCGGUCGUGUUGGGGGCGGCGCGACACGGCUCGGGCCCGCCAGUGCCCCAACGGGGCCCUAGUUCCUGCAUGUUUCCUUCUUUCGUUAUUAUUUUUCCUCCGCUUUAAACUGGAAAAUGGCCCACUUCCCACUGGCGAAAACUCAUGAAAUUUGGCAGGACGACCGGGCCUGGUGAAAAAUUCGAUAUUCUGAAGUCGCCCAAACAAUAAAUUGCAAAAUGGCUCCAUAGCGCCCCCUAAGGUGAAAAUUCACACUAUUGACUGUCACGCCUUUACGCUUUGUCAUAUUGACACAAAAAUUGACACACACAUGUAUCUCAAUAAGAUCUACAAAAAAGUCAGUGCGGGCGUAUCUGUCAAAUGUACGGUUAAUGGGUUAUUUUGCAUUUUUUGCAGAUCUGCACACAUUGGAAUUUCGCUAACUCCUCCGAAGGCUUUCGUUCGACCGGCACCACAUUUGCGCAGGCCAAUCUACCCCCCAUGGCCAUUAAAAGUUGUACAAAUCAUGACGCUGCACCCCACGGUUUACGUUCUAGGGGGCGCCAAAGAUAACCCAAAAAUCCACAUUCUUAAAAGUCUUAUAACUUUUUACUUUUGUCCUCACUGGCCUCCAAGUUUUCUAGGAUGAUGCAAUGUCCAGCCAUCAACACAUUUGUGAAGGAAUUUUUACUCCCCAAAAGAGCGCCCCCCAAUGGCAGGAGAAAAAGGUCCAUUUUUUCUUGUCUCCUAAGGUGAAAAUACACAUUGUCGAGUGUCACGCCUGUAUGCUUUGUCAUAUUGACACAAAAUUUAAUAAUCACGUGUAUCUCAAUAAGAUCUACAAAAAAGUCAAUGCGCACGUAUCUGUAAAAUGUACGGCUAAAGGGCUAUUUUGCAUUUUUUGCCGAUUCGCACACAUUGGAAUGUGGCUAACUCCUCCUAAGGCUUUCGUCCCACUGACACCAAAUUUGCUCAGGCCAAUCUACACCCCAUGGCCAUUAAAAGUUGUAAAAAUCAUGCCGCUGCACCCCACGGUUUACGUUCUAGGGGGCGCCAAAGAUAACCCAAAUAUCCACAGUCUUAAAAGUCUUAUAACUUUUUAUUUUUGUCCUCACUGGCCUCCAAGUUCUCUAGGAUGAUGCAAUGUCCAGCCAUCAACACAUUUGUGAAGGAAUUUUUACUCGCCAAAAGAGCGCCCCCCCAUGGCAGGAGAAAAAAGUCCAUUUUUUCUUGUCUCCUAAGGCGAAAAUACACAUUGUUGACUGUCACGCCUUUACGCUUUGUCAAAAUGACACAAAAUUUGACACACACAUGUAUCUCAAUAAGAUCUACAAAAAAGUCAGUGCGGGCGUAUCUGUCAAAUGUACGGUUAAAGGGUUAUUUCGCAUUUUUUGCCGAUCCGCACACAUUGGAAUUUCGCUAACUCCUCCGAAGGCUUUCGUUCCAACGGCACCACAUUUGCUCAGGCCAAUCUACACCCCAUGGCCAUUAAAAGUUGUACAAAUCAUGAUGCUGCACCCCACGGUUUACGUUCUAGGGGGCGCCAAAGAUAACCCAAAAAUCCACAGUCUUAAAAGUCUUAUAACUUUUUAUUUUUGUCCUCACUGGCCUCCAAGUUCUCUAGGAUGAUGCAAUGUCCAGCCAUCAACACAUUUGUGAAGGAAUUUUUACUCGCCAAAAGAGCGCCCCCCCCCAUGGCAGGAGAAAAAGUCAAGUUUUUCCUGCCCAUCGCUCAAUGGCUCAAACGCAUCGCUCUCUCGGCAAAACCGAAAGGAGGAGCAACUUGCCAUUUGGAUAUAUACUAGCUGUGUUUGUGCCCUCACUCAUGGUCCAGACUUUUUUCAAAAAGGACAUGGAGUUUGUCUGCAGCGAGCGUUUUGGUAGAAACUGCGCCUCCCAUUCAUUAUAAUGGUAAAUGACCACAGACAAGUGCGCACACCAUCUUUGGACCUUGAGUGUGACGCGAUCGGGAGGGGUAGGCGGUCGCGCUGGGGGUGGCGCGACACGGCUCGGGCCCGCCAGUGCCCCAACGGGGCCCUAGUUUCUUUUUAGGGCCCGAGCGUAGCUGCUAAGCAGCUGCGAGGCCCUAUUAUUCCUGUAGAGGUUUUUCUUUGUUUCUUUUUAGGGCCCGAGCGUAGCUGCUAAGCAGCUGCGAGAGCCCUCUUGUUCCUGAUGGAUUCUUCUUUCGUUAUUUUUCCUCCGCUUUAAACUGGAAAAUGGCCCACUUCCCACUGGCGAAAACUCAGGAAAUUUGGCAGGACGACCGGGCCUGGUGAAAAAUUUGAUAUUCUGAAGUCGUCCAAACAAAAAAAUGAAAAAUGGCUCCAUAGCGCCCCCUAUGGUGAAAACUCACCUGAUGCCUGUACGCUUUGUCAAAAUGACACAAAAUUUGACACACACAUGUAUCUCAAUAAGAUCUACGAAAAAGUCAGUGCGGGCGUAUCUGUCAAAUGUACGGUUAAAGGGCUAUUUCGCUUUUUUUGCCGAUCCGCACACAUUGGAAUUUCGCUAACUCCUCCGAAGGCUUUCGUUCCACCGGCACCACAUUUGCUCAGGCCAAUCUACACCCCAUGGCCAUUAAAAGUUGUACAAAUCAUGACGCUGCACCCCACGGUUUACGUUCUAGGGGGCGCCAAAGAUAACCCAAAAAUCCACAGUCUUAAAAGUCUUAUAACUUUUUAUUUUUGUCCUCACUGGCCUCCAAGUUCUCUAGGAUGAUGCAAUGUCCAGCCAUCAACACAUUUGUGAAGGAAUUUUUACUCGCCAAAAGAGCGCCCCCCAUGGCAGGAGAAAAAAGUCCAUUUUUUCUUGUCUCCUAAGGCGAAAAUUCACACUAUUGACUGUCACGCCUUUACGCUUUGUCAUAUUGACACAAAAAUUGACAUACACAUGUAUCUCAAUAAGAUCUACAAAAAAGUCAGUGCGGGCGUAUCUGUCAAAUGUACGGUUAAAGGGUUAUUUCGCAUUUUUUGCCGAUCCGCACACAUUGGAAUUUGGCUAACUCCUCCGAAGGCUUUCGUUCCACCGGCACCACAUUUGCUCAGGCCAAUCUACACCCCAUGGCCAUUAAAAGUUGUACAAAUCAUGACGCUGCACCCCACGGUUUACGUUCUAGGGGGCGCCAAAGAUAACCCAAAAAUCCACAGUCUUAAAAGUCUUAUAACUUUUUAUUUUUGUCCUCACUGGCCUCCAAGUUCUCUAGGAUGAUGCAAUGUCCAGCCAUCAACACAUUUGUGAAGGAAUUUUUACUCGCCAAAAGAGCGCCCCCCCCAUGGCAGGAGAAAAAAGUCCAUUUUUUCUUGUCUCCUAAGGCGAAAAUUCACACUAUUGACUGUCACGCCUUUACGCUUUGUCAUAUUGACACAAAAAUUGACAUACACAUGUAUCUCAAUAAGAUCUACAAAAAAGUCAGUGCGGGCGUAUCUGUCAAAUGUACGGUUAAAGGGUUAUUUCGCAUUUUUUGCCGAUCCGCACACAUUGGAAUUUGGCUAACUCCUCCGAAGGCUUUCGUUCCACCGGCACCACAUUUGCUCAGGCCAAUCUACACCCCAUGGCCAUUAAAAGUUGUACAAAUCAUGAUGCUGCACCCCACGGUUUACGUUCUAGGGGGCGCCAAAGAUAACCCAAAUAUCCACAGUCUUAAAAGUCUUAUAACUUUCUAAUUUUGUCCUCACUGGCCUCCAAGUUCUCUAGGAUGAUGCAAUGUCCAGCCAUCAACACAUUUGUGAAGGAAUUUUUACUCGCCAAAAGAGCGCCCCCCCAUGGCAGGAGAAAAAAGUCCAUUUUUUCUUGUCUCCUAAGGCGAAAAUACACAUUGUUGACUGUCACGCCUUUACGCUUUGUCAAAAUGACACAAAAUUUGACACACACAUGUAUCUCAAUAAGAUCUACAAAAAAGUCAGUGCGGGCGUAUCUGUCAAAUGUACGGUUAAAGGGUUAUUUCGCAUUUUUUGCCGAUCCGCACACAUUGGAAUUUCGCUAACUCCUCCGAAGGCUUUCGUUCCAACGGCACCACAUUUGCUCAGGCCAAUCUACACCCCAUGGCCAUUAAAAGUUGUACAAAUCAUGACGCUGCACCCCACGGUUUACGUUCUAGGGGGCGCCAAAGAUAACCCAAAAAUCCACAGUCUUAAAAGUCUUAUAACUUUUUAUUUUUGUCCUCACUGGCCUCCAAGUUCUCUAGGAUGAUGCAAUGUCCAGCCAUCAACACAUUUGUGAAGGAAUUUUUACUCGCCAAAAGAGCGCCCCCCCCAUGGCAGGAGAAAAAGUCAAGUUUUUCCUGCCCAUCGCUCAAUGGCUCAAACGCAUCGCUCUCUCGGCAAAACCGAAAGGAGGAGCAACUUGCCAUUUGGAUAUAUACUAGCUGUGUUUGUGCCCUCACUCAUGGUCCAGACUUUUUUCAAAAAGGACAUGGAGUUUGUCUGCAGCGAGCGUUUUGGUAGAAACUGCGCCUCCCAUUCAUUAUAAUGGUAAAUGACCACAGACAAGUGCGCACACCAUCUUUGGACCUUGAGUGUGACGCGAUCGGGAGGGGUAGGCGGUCGCGCUGGGGGUGGCGCGACACGGCUCGGGCCCGCCAGUGCCCCAACGGGGCCCUAGUUUCUUUUUAGGGCCCGAGCGUAGCUGCUAAGCAGCUGCGAGGCCCUAUUAUUCCUGUAGAGGUUUUUCUUUGUUUCUUUUUAGGGCCCGAGCGUAGCUGCUAAGCAGCUGCGAGAGCCCUCUUGUUCCUGAUGGAUUCUUCUUUCGUUAUUUUUCCUCCGCUUUAAACUGGAAAAUGGCCCACUUCCCACUGGCGAAAACUCAGGAAAUUUGGCAGGACGACCGGGCCUGGUGAAAAAUUUGAUAUUCUGAAGUCGUCCAAACAAAAAAAUGAAAAAUGGCUCCAUAGCGCCCCCUAUGGUGAAAACUCACCUGAUGCCUGUACGCUUUGUCAAAAUGACACAAAAUUUGACACACAUGUGUAUCUCAAUAAGAUCUACGAAAAAGUCAGUGCGGGCGUAUCUGUCAAAUGUACGGUUAAAGGGCUAUUUCGCUUUAUUUGCCGAUCCGCACACAUUGGAAUUUCGCUAACUCCUCCAAAGGCUUUCGUUCCACCGGCACCAAAUUUGCUCAGGGCAAUCUACACCCCAUGGCCAUUAAAAGUUGUACAAAUCAUGACGCUGCACCCCACAGUUUAGGUUCUAGGCGGCGCCAAAGAUAACCCAAAAAUCCACAUUCUUAAAAGUCUUAUAACUUUUUAUUUUUGUCCUCACUGGCCUCCAAGUUUUCUAGGAUGAUGCAAUGUCUAGCCAUCAACACAUUUGUGAAGGAAUUUUUACUCCCUAAAAGAGCGCCCCCCCAUGGCAGGAGAAAAAGUCAAGUUUUUCCUGCCCAUCGCUCAAUGACUCAAACACAUCGCUCUCUCGGCAAAACCGAAAGGAGGAGCAACUUGCCAUUUGGAUAUAUCCUAGCUGUGUUUGUGCCCUCACUCAUGGUCCAGACUUUUUUCAAAUAGGACAUGUAGUUUGUCUGCAGCGAGCGUUUUGGUAGAAACUGCGCCUCCCAUUCAUUAUAAUGGUAAAUGACCACAGACAAGUGCGCACACCAUCUUUGGACCUUGAGUGUGACGCGAUCGGGAGGGGGAGGCGGUCGCGCUGGGGGCGGCGCGACGCGGCUCGGGCCCGCCAGUGCCCCAACGGGGCCCUAGUUUCUUUUUAGGGCCCGAGCGUAGCUGCUAAGCAGCUGCGAGGCCCUAUUAUUCCUGUAGAGGUUUUUCUUUGUUUCUUUUUAGGGCCCGAGCGUAGCUGCUAAGCAGCUGCGAGAGCCCUCUUGUUCCUGAUGGAUUCUUCUUUCGUUAUUUUUCCUCCGCUUUAAACUGGAAAAUGGCCCACUUCCCACUGGCGAAAACUCAGGAAAUUUGGCAGGACGACCGGGCCUGGUGAAAAAUUUGAUAUUCUGAAGUCGUCCAAACAAAAAAAUGAAAAAUGGCUCCAUAGCGCCCCCUAUGGUGAAAACUCACCUGAUGCCUGUACGCUUUGUCAAAAUGACACAAAAUUUGACACACAUGUGUAUCUCAAUAAGAUCUACGAAAAAGUCAGUGCGGGCGUAUCUGUCAAAUGUACGGUUAAAGGGCUAUUUCGCUUUAUUUGCCGAUCCGCACACAUUGGAAUUUCGCUAACUCCUCCAAAGGCUUUCGUUCCACCGGCACCAAAUUUGCUCAGGGCAAUCUACACCCCAUGGCCAUUAAAAGUUGUACAAAUCAUGACGCUGCACCCCACAGUUUAGGUUCUAGGCGGCGCCAAAGAUAACCCAAAAAUCCACAUUCUUAAAAGUCUUAUAACUUUUUAUUUUUGUCCUCACUGGCCUCCAAGUUUUCUAGGAUGAUGCAAUGUCUAGCCAUCAACACAUUUGUGAAGGAAUUUUUACUCCCUAAAAGAGCGCCCCCCAUGGCAGGAGAAAAAGUCAAGUUUUUCCUGCCCAUCGCUCAAUGACUCAAACACAUCGCUCUCUCGGCAAAACCGAAAGGAGGAGCAACUUGCCAUUUGGAUAUAUCCUAGCUGUGUUUGUGCCCUCACUCAUGGUCCAGUCCUUUUCAAAUAGGACAUGUAGUUUGUCUGCGGCGAGCGUUUUGGUAGAAACUGCGCCUCCCAUUCAUUAUAAUUGUAAAUGACCACAGACAAGUGCGCACACCAUCUUUGGACCUUGAGUGUGACGCGAUCGGUAGGGAGAGGCGGUCGUGUUGGGGGCGGCGCGACACGGCUCGGGCCCGCCAGUGCCCCAACGGGGCCCUAGUUCCUGCAUGUUUCCUUCUUUCGUUAUUAUUUUUCCUCCGCUUUAAACUGGAAAAUGGCCCACUUCCCACUGGCGAAAACUCAUGAAAUUUGGCAGGACGACCGGGCCUGGUGAAAAAUUCGAUAUUCUGAAGUCGCCCAAACAAUAAAUUGCAAAAUGGCUCCAUAGCGCCCCCUAAGGUGAAAAUUCACACUAUUGACUGUCACGCCUUUACGCUUUGUCAUAUUGACACAAAAAUUGACACACACAUGUAUCUCAAUAAGAUCUACAAAAAAGUCAGUGCGGGCGUAUCUGUCAAAUGUACGGUUAAUGGGUUAUUUUGCAUUUUUUGCAGAUCUGCACACAUUGGAAUUUCGCUAACUCCUCCGAAGGCUUUCGUUCGACCGGCACCACAUUUGCGCAGGCCAAUCUACCCCCCAUGGCCAUUAAAAGUUGUACAAAUCAUGACGCUGCACCCCACGGUUUACGUUCUAGGGGGCGCCAAAGAUAACCCAAAAAUCCACAUUCUUAAAAGUCUUAUAACUUUUUACUUUUGUCCUCACUGGCCUCCAAGUUUUCUAGGAUGAUGCAAUGUCCAGCCAUCAACACAUUUGUGAAGGAAUUUUUACUCCCCAAAAGAGCGCCCCCCAAUGGCAGGAGAAAAAGGUCCAUUUUUUCUUGUCUCCUAAGGUGAAAAUACACAUUGUCGAGUGUCACGCCUGUAUGCUUUGUCAUAUUGACACAAAAUUUAAUAAUCACGUGUAUCUCAAUAAGAUCUACAAAAAAGUCAAUGCGCACGUAUCUGUAAAAUGUACGGCUAAAGGGCUAUUUUGCAUUUUUUGCCGAUUCGCACACAUUGGAAUGUGGCUAACUCCUCCUAAGGCUUUCGUCCCACUGACACCAAAUUUGCUCAGGCCAAUCUACACCCCAUGGCCAUUAAAAGUUGUAAAAAUCAUGCCGCUGCACCCCACGGUUUACGUUCUAGGGGGCGCCAAAGAUAACCCAAAUAUCCACAGUCUUAAAAGUCUUAUAACUUUUUAUUUUUGUCCUCACUGGCCUCCAAGUUCUCUAGGAUGAUGCAAUGUCCAGCCAUCAACACAUUUGUGAAGGAAUUUUUACUCGCCAAAAGAGCGCCCCCCAUGGCAGGAGAAAAAAGUCCAUUUUUUCUUGUCUCCUAAGGCGAAAAUACACAUUGUUGACUGUCACGCCUUUACGCUUUGUCAAAAUGACACAAAAUUUGACACACACAUGUAUCUCAAUAAGAUCUACAAAAAAGUCAGUGCGGGCGUAUCUGUCAAAUGUACGGUUAAAGGGUUACUUCGCAUUUUUUGCCGAUCCGCUCACAUUGGAAUUUCGCUAACUCCUCCGAAGGCUUUCGUUCCAACGGCACCACAUUUGCUCAGGCCAAUCUACACCCCAUGGCCAUUAAAAGUUGUACAAAUCAUGAUGCUGCACCCCACGGUUUACGUUCUAGGGGGCGCCAAAGAUAACCCAAAAAUCCACAGUCUUAAAAGUCUUAUAACUUUUUAUUUUUGUCCUCACUGGCCUCCAAGUUCUCUAGGAUGAUGCAAUGUCCAGCCAUCAACACAUUUGUGAAGGAAUUUUUACUCGCCAAAAGAGCGCCCCCCCAUGGCAGGAGAAAAAGUCAAGUUUUUCCUGCCCAUCGCUCAAUGGCUCAAACGCAUCGCUCUCUCGGCAAAACCGAAAGGAGGAGCAACUUGCCAUUUGGAUAUAUACUAGCUGUGUUUGUGCCCUCACUCAUGGUCCAGACUUUUUUCAAAAAGGACAUGGAGUUUGUCUGCAGCGAGCGUUUUGGUAGAAACUGCGCCUCCCAUUCAUUAUAAUGGUAAAUGACCACAGACAAGUGCGCACACCAUCUUUGGACCUUGAGUGUGACGCGAUCGGGAGGGGUAGGCGGUCGCGCUGGGGGUGGCGCGACACGGCUCGGGCCCGCCAGUGCCCCAACGGGGCCCUAGUUUCUUUUAGGGCCCGAGCGUAGCUGCUAAGCAGCUGCGAGGCCCUAUUAUUCCUGUAGAGGUUUUUCUUUGUUUCUUUUUAGGGCCCGAGCGUAGCUGCUAAGCAGCUGCGAGAGCCCUCUUGUUCCUGAUGGAUUCUUCUUUCGUUAUUUUUCCUCCGCUUUAAACUGGAAAAUGGCCCACUUCCCACUGGCGAAAACUCAGGAAAUUUGGCAGGACGACCGGGCCUGGUGAAAAAUUUGAUAUUCUGAAGUCGUCCAAACAAAAAAAUGAAAAAUGGCUCCAUAGCGCCCCCUAUGGUGAAAACUCACCUGAUGCCUGUACGCUUUGUCAAAAUGACACAAAAUUUGACACACACAUGUAUCUCAAUAAGAUCUACGAAAAAGUCAGUGCGGGCGUAUCUGUCAAAUGUACGGUUAAAGGGCUAUUUCGCUUUUUUUGCCGAUCCGCACACAUUGGAAUUUCGCUAACUCCUCCGAAGGCUUUCGUUCCACCGGCACCACAUUUGCUCAGGCCAAUCUACACCCCAUGGCCAUUAAAAGUUGUACAAAUCAUGACGCUGCACCCCACGGUUUACGUUCUAGGGGGCGCCAAAGAUAACCCAAAAAUCCACAGUCUUAAAAGUCUUAUAACUUUUUAUUUUUGUCCUCACUGGCCUCCAAGUUCUCUAGGAUGAUGCAAUGUCCAGCCAUCAACACAUUUGUGAAGGAAUUUUUACUCGCCAAAAGAGCGCCCCCCAUGGCAGGAGAAAAAAGUCCAUUUUUUCUUGUCUCCUAAGGCGAAAAUUCACACUAUUGACUGUCACGCCUUUACGCUUUGUCAUAUUGACACAAAAAUUGACAUACACAUGUAUCUCAAUAAGAUCUACAAAAAAGUCAGUGCGGGCGUAUCUGUCAAAUGUACGGUUAAAGGGUUAUUUCGCAUUUUUUGCCGAUCCGCACACAUUGGAAUUUGGCUAACUCCUCCGAAGGCUUUCGUUCCACCGGCACCACAUUUGCUCAGGCCAAUCUACACCCCAUGGCCAUUAAAAGUUGUACAAAUCAUGAUGCUGCACCCCACGGUUUACGUUCUAGGGGGCGCCAAAGAUAACCCAAAUAUCCACAGUCUUAAAAGUCUUAUAACUUUCUAAUUUUGUCCUCACUGGCCUCCAAGUUCUCUAGGAUGAUGCAAUGUCCAGCCAUCAACACAUUUGUGAAGGAAUUUUUACUCGCCAAAAGAGCGCCCCCCAUGGCAGGAGAAAAAAGUCCAUUUUUUCUUGUCUCCUAAGGCGAAAAUACACAUUGUUGACUGUCACGCCUUUACGCUUUGUCAAAAUGACACAAAAUUUGACACACACAUGUAUCUCAAUAAGAUCUACAAAAAAGUCAGUGCGGGCGUAUCUGUCAAAUGUACGGUUAAAGGGUUAUUUCGCAUUUUUUGCCGAUCCGCACACAUUGGAAUUUCGCUAACUCCUCCGAAGGCUUUCGUUCCAACGGCACCACAUUUGCUCAGGCCAAUCUACACCCCAUGGCCAUUAAAAGUUGUACAAAUCAUGACGCUGCACCCCACGGUUUACGUUCUAGGGGGCGCCAAAGAUAACCCAAAAAUCCACAGUCUUAAAAGUCUUAUAACUUUUUAUUUUUGUCCUCACUGGCCUCCAAGUUCUCUAGGAUGAUGCAAUGUCCAGCCAUCAACACAUUUGUGAAGGAAUUUUUACUCGCCAAAAGAGCGCCCCCCCAUGGCAGGAGAAAAAGUCAAGUUUUUCCUGCCCAUCGCUCAAUGGCUCAAACGCAUCGCUCUCUCGGCAAAACCGAAAGGAGGAGCAACUUGCCAUUUGGAUAUAUACUAGCUGUGUUUGUGCCCUCACUCAUGGUCCAGACUUUUUUCAAAAAGGACAUGGAGUUUGUCUGCAGCGAGCGUUUUGGUAGAAACUGCGCCUCCCAUUCAUUAUAAUGGUAAAUGACCACAGACAAGUGCGCACACCAUCUUUGGACCUUGAGUGUGACGCGAUCGGGAGGGGUAGGCGGUCGCGCUGGGGGUGGCGCGACACGGCUCGGGCCCGCCAGUGCCCCAACGGGGCCCUAGUUUCUUUUUAGGGCCCGAGCGUAGCUGCUAAGCAGCUGCGAGGCCCUAUUAUUCCUGUAGAGGUUUUUCUUUGUUUCUUUUUAGGGCCCGAGCGUAGCUGCUAAGCAGCUGCGAGAGCCCUCUUGUUCCUGAUGGAUUCUUCUUUCGUUAUUUUUCCUCCGCUUUAAACUGGAAAAUGGCCCACUUCCCACUGGCGAAAACUCAGGAAAUUUGGCAGGACGACCGGGCCUGGUGAAAAAUUUGAUAUUCUGAAGUCGUCCAAACAAAAAAAUGAAAAAUGGCUCCAUAGCGCCCCCUAUGGUGAAAACUCACCUGAUGCCUGUACGCUUUGUCAAAAUGACACAAAAUUUGACACACAUGUGUAUCUCAAUAAGAUCUACGAAAAAGUCAGUGCGGGCGUAUCUGUCAAAUGUACGGUUAAAGGGCUAUUUCGCUUUAUUUGCCGAUCCGCACACAUUGGAAUUUCGCUAACUCCUCCAAAGGCUUUCGUUCCACCGGCACCAAAUUUGCUCAGGGCAAUCUACACCCCAUGGCCAUUAAAAGUUGUACAAAUCAUGACGCUGCACCCCACAGUUUAGGUUCUAGGCGGCGCCAAAGAUAACCCAAAAAUCCACAUUCUUAAAAGUCUUAUAACUUUUUAUUUUUGUCCUCACUGGCCUCCAAGGUUUCUAGGAUGAUGCAAUGUCCAGCCAUCAACACAUUUGUGAAGGAAUUUUUACUCCCCAAAAGAGCGCCCCCCCAUGGCAGGAGAAAAGAGUCCAUUUUUUCUUGUCCCCUAAGGUGAAAAAACACAUUGUUGACUGUCACGCCUAUACGCUUUGUCAAAAUGAAACAAAAUUUGACACACACGUGUAUCUCAAUAAGAUCUACGAAAAAGUCAAUGGGCACGUAUCUGUAAAAUGUACGGUUAAAGGGCUAUUUCGCAUUUUUUGCCGAUUCGCACACAUUGGAAUGUGGCUAACUCCUCCUAAGGCUUUCGUCCCACCAACACCAAAUUUGCUCAAGCCGAUCUACAUCCCAUGGCCAUUCAAAGUUGUAGAAAUCAUGACGCUGCUCCCCACGGUUUACGUUCUAGGGGGCGCCAAAGAUGACCCAAAUAUCCACAUUCUUAAAAGAAUCCACAUCGCCCCCCCCCCCCCCCCGCCCCCAGGAGAAAAAGUCAAGUUAACCCUGCCCAUCGGUCAAUGGCUCAAUCGCAUCGCUCUCCCAGCAACACCGUAAGGAGGAGCAACUUGCCAUUUGGAUAUAUCCUAGCUGUGUUUGUGCCCUCACUCAUGGUCCAGACUUUUUUCAAAUAGGACAUGUAGUUUGUCUGCAGCGAGCGUUUUGGUAGAAACUGCGCCUCCCAUUCAUUAUAAUGGUAAAUGACCACAGACAAGUGCGCACACCAUCUUUGGACCUUGAGUGUGACGCGAUCGGGAGGGGGAGGCGGUCGCGCUGGGGGCGGCGCGACGCGGCUCGGGCCCGACAGUGCCCCACCGGGGCCCUAGUUUCUUUUUCCUCUUCUUUGAACUGGAAAAUGGCCCACUUCCCACAGGCGAAAACUCAUGAAAUUUGGCAGGACGACCGGGCCUGGUGAAAAAUUUGAUAUUCCGAAGUCGCCCAAACAAGAAAAUGCGAAAUGGCUCCAUAGCGCCCCCUAAGGUGAAAAUUCACACUAUUGACUGUCACGCCUGUACGCUUUGUCAAAAUGACACAAAAAUUGACACACACAUGUAUCUCAAUAAGAUCUACGAAAAAGUCAAUGGGCACGUAUCUGUAAAAUGUACGGUUAAAGGGUUAUUCCGCAUUUUUUGCCGAUCCGCACACAUUGGAAUUUCGCUAACUCCUCCUAAGGCUUUCGUUCCACCGGCACCACAUUUGCUCAGGCCAAUCUACACCCCAUGGCCAUUAAAAGUUAUUCAAAUCAUGACGCUGCACCCCACGGUUUAGGUUCUAGGGGGCGCCAAAGAUAACCCUAAAAUCCACAUAUUUCAAAGUCUUAUAACUUUUUAUUUUUGCCCUCACUGGCCUCCAAGUUUUCUAGGAUGAUGCAAUGUCCAGCCAUCAACACAUUUGUGAAGGAAUUUUUACUCCCCAAAAGAGCGCCCCCCCAUGGCAGGAGAAAAAAGUCCAUUUUUUCUUGUCCCCUAAGGUGAAAAUACACAUUGUUGAGUGUCACCCCUGUACGCUUUGGCAAAAUGACACAAAAAUUGACACACACAUGUAUCUCAAUAAGAUCUACGAAAAAGUCAAUGCGCGCGUAUCUGUCAAAUGUACGGUUAAAGGUUUAUUUCGCAUUUUUUGCCGAUCCGCACACAUUGGAAUUUCGCUAACUCCUCCGAAGGCUUUCGUUCCACCGGCACCACAUUUGCUCAGGCCAAUCUACACCCCAUGGCCAUUAAAAGUUAUUCAAAUCAUGACGCUGCACCCCACGGUUUAGGUUCUAGGGGGCGCCAAAGAUAACCCUAAAAUCCACAUAUUUCAAAGUCUUAUAACUUUUUAGGGCCCGAGCCAGCUGCAGAGCAGCUGGGCGUAGAGCCCUAUUAUUCCUGAUGAGUUUUUCUUUCUUCUUUCUUUCUUUCUUUCUUUCUUUCUUUCUUUCUUUCUUCUUAUUUUUCCUCCCCUUUGAAGGGGAAAAUGGCCCACUUCCCACUGGCGAAAACUCAUGAAAUUUGGCAGGAUGACCGGGCCUGGUGAAAAAUUCGAUAUUCUGAAGUCGCCCAAACAAUAAAAUGCAAAAUGGCUCCAUAGCGCCCCCUAAGGUGGAAAUUCACACUAUUGACUGUCACGCCUGUACGCUUUGUCAUAUUGACACAAAA